rnacentral:rRNA from 1 species
GUGGGGAAUAUUGGGCAAUGGGCGAAAGCCUGACCCAGCAACGCCGCGUGAAGGAAGAAGGUCUUCGGAUCGUAAACUUCUAUCCUUGGUGAAGAUAAUGACGGUAGCCGAGAAGGAAGCCCCGGCUAACUACGUGCCAGCAGCCGCGGUAAUACGUAGGGGGCAAGCGUUGUCCGGAAUGAUUGGGCGUAAGGGGCGCGUAGGCGGCCUGGUAAGUCUGGAGUGAAAGUCAUGCUUUUAAGGUGGGAAUUGCUUUGGAUACUGUCGGGCUUGAGUGCAGGAGAGGUAAGUGGAAUUCCCAGUGUAGCGGUGAAAUGCGUAGAGAUCGGGAGGAACACCAGUGGCGAAGGCGACUUACUGGACUGUAACUGACGCUGAGGCGCGAAAGUGUGGGGAGCAAACAGGAUUAGAAACCCGGGUAGUCC